rnacentral:lncRNA from 1 species
AAUCUACAAGAUCAGAUAUAAAGUUCUCUAUUUGGCAAUGAAUGUGUUCCUCAUCCCUUGGCCCCUUCUUACCUUUUCAGACAUCUUUUGCCCUAAUCCCUUUUGCACAUUCUGUGAUGUAGCUAGACUGGCCUACUUGCAGUUUCUUCCUUCCUUCCUUCUUUCCUUCCUUCCUUCCUUCCUUCCUUCCUUCCUUCCUUCCUUCCUUCCUUCCUUCCUUCCUUCCUUCCUUCCUUCCUUCCUUCCUUCCUUCCUUCCUUCCUUCCUUCCUUUCUCUUCCUUCCUUUCUCUUCCUUCCUUCCUUCCUUCCUUCCUUCCUUCCUUCCUUCCUUCCUUCCUUCCUUCCUUCCUUCCUUCCUUCCUUCCUUCCUUCCUUCCUUCCUUUCUCUUCCUUCCUUUCUCUUCCUUCCUUCCUUCCUUCCUUCCUUCCUUCCUUCCUUCCUUCCUUCCUUCCUUCCUUCCUUCCUUCCUUCCUUCCUUCCUUCCUUCCUUCCUUCCUUCCUUCCUUCCUCUUUCUUUCUUUCUUUCUUCCUUCCUUCCUUCCUUCCUUCCUCUUUCUUUCUUUCUUUCUUUCUUUCUUUCUUUCUUCCUUCCUUCCUUCCUUCCUUUCUUUCUUUCUUUCUUUCUUUCUUUCUUUCUUUCUUUCUUUCUUUCUUUCUUUCUUUCUUUCUUUCUUUCUUUCUUUCUUUCUUUCUUUCUUUCUUUCUUUCUUUCUUUCUUUCUUUCUUUCUUUCUUUCUUUCUUUCUUUCUUCCUUCCUUCCUUCCUUCCUUCCUUCCUUCCUUCCUUCCUUCCUUCCUUCCUUCCUUCCUUCCUUCCAUGAUUCAAAUGCAUGUGACUCUAAAUCAAAUAAAAUAUUUCCAGAGAUAUUUCAAACAAUUGCUGA